AUUGAACGCUGGCGGCAUGCUUUACACAUGCAAGUCGAACGGUAACAGGGUGCUUGCACCGCUGACGAGUGGCGAACGGGUGAGUAAUGCGUCGGAACGUGCCGAGUAGUGGGGGAUAACGCAUCGAAAGGUGUGCUAAUACCGCAUACGUACUGAGGUAGAAAGUGGGGGACCUUCAGGCCUCACGCUAUUCGAGCGGCCGACGUCAGAUUAGCCAGUUGGUGAGGUAAAGGCUCACCAAGGCGACGAUCAGUAGCGGGUCUGAGAGGAUGAUCCGCCACACUGGGACUGAGACACGGCCCAGACUCCUACGGGAGGCAGCAGUGGGGAAUUUUGGACAAUGGGCGCAAGCCUGAUCCAGCCAUGCCGCGUGUCUGAAGAAGGCCUUCGGGUUGUAAAGGACUUUUGUCCGGGAGCAAAUACCCAGUGCUAAUAACGCUGGGGGCUGAGAGUACCGGAAGAAUAAGCACCGGCUAACUACGUGCCAGCCGCCGCCGUAAUAC
rnacentral:rRNA from 1 species